AGAAGUCUCUUCAACUGGAGGGGGAAUGGCUUGCAACAAUGGGAGAAAGUGCAACAAUGCACCCCUUCUUUGUCUGCACCUCUGUAUCAGUGAUCAGAGCACAGAUCCCUGAUAUUUGGAGGACACGGUUGUUUUUGCCUUCCCUGGGUCCUGCAAGUUGUGUGCAGGUUGCUUUAGGAACACAUGCACAGCUGCCCACCAUGGGCCUGGGUACCUGCUAUGUGCUAAGAGCUAAAAUUAACUGCGGUUUACUAUCCAAGCCUUCCCCUGGAAGUUGCACGUCUUCAAUUGUUCCUAAAAUAGUUGCAUCAGACAUAUUCUGCCAGUGCAAUAUUGUCUAGGUGGGGAAACAGAUUCCUGGUGCUUCUUACUCUACUGUCUUCUCUAAAUCCAUCUUUUAAGACUCUCCUGUGGACCUCUUGGACCAUCUUCCCUCAUAAAAAUUCUGGCUUUGGCAUCCAGUUACACCAGUAUGAGAUUGGCCCAUAGUUACACAACUCAAGAGGAUAGGUGAUAACCAUGCACUGUCUGUUCUCCUGACUCUUUCACCCUACUGAAGAAUCUUCCUCCUCAGUCUUUGGUCUAGAAUAUUAGGGACCCUCAUUCUUUUCAUGCCUUCCGAGAGAUAAAAUUAUUACAGAGCAAUGCAGAAACUGAGCCAGUGGCCCAUAAUUACUAGACAUCAGCUUCUCAUGGUUAAAAAUAUAUGUGGAUUUUUCUCCCAUCACUAAGCAAACUUCGUAAUGUGUUUACUAGAAUAGGUCACUGUUUGAGGGGAGAGAUUGGAGGAGGGCAGUCAGUUGGGAAACAUUUUGUAGGAAGUCUUAUGGAUCUAGUUCUUCUGUUGCUGUGACGAAUCAUACCAUCACACAGAGGCCCAGAUUGGGACCUCAUCAACACCUACAGAGUCACUGGGCAAAUUACAAAAUGUGUCUCUUCCCCUGGGUAGCAGCCCAGUGCCAGAAUUCAUCACCUGGAGCUGGUUUUCAGUCCCACCUUCUCCCUUCCUUGGGCCCCUCUGUGUUGUAUACAGGCUAUUCAAAUCUUCUAGUGGUCCUGAGUUUACAGCACAGUGUAUGGAGCUAAACAAACCUGGGUGGAAUCCCAGCACUGCCACUUGCUGUGUGGCCUUAAUGCAGGGUACUUAGAACUUCAGUUUUCUAGCUAUAAACUCUGACCACAUUACUAUCAGAUUCAGUGAAAUAACAUGUGCAGCCCUUAGCACAGUAACCAGAACACACUAAGUCUUCCAUUGGUGCUGUGAUUGUUAUUACUCACUGGGGUUUGGUUAUGAUAUUACAUUUAUCUUUGAUUUAGCAUUACAUUCUCAAAUGGAUAAGUACUUACAGUAAGUGCUAUUAUGCUCCUCUGUAAAAUGGAAAGUGUCAACCAUUUUUCAAUGACAUUCCAUGGUUCUGACUGCUGGAUUGCAUUAUUCAUGUGCCAUUUGGGUGUAAGAUUUCAUUGUCCAUCAGGAAAAAAAUGGAAAUAGGCACAGAGGGAAUCAGCGUUUAUUUAGUAUCUAUUAUUGGGGGGCUCUCUAUAUUGUCAUCUCAUUUGGCCUUUAACAAAUGAGAAGUUGAGGCUGAGGAAGAUUAAUUCACUUAAAGUCACAUGUAGCUAGUAAAAGGCAAAGCCAGAAUCACAUUCAUUUUAUUUGUUCAUUUUAUUUCUCCUUUCCUGCUCCCAACUUUUCCUAGGGGCUAUAAGGAGAUCCUUAGGAUUCUUCAUAAUCAUUUCAUUUAUCUACUAUUUACUUUAUUUGCCUCUAGAAUAGAAAUUUUGCUUUCAUUUCUGGCACUGUUUAGAGAGAGAAAAAGUUAAGCUUCUCUUUCUCUGUUGUCUUUUUUUUUUUUUUUUUUUUUUUUUUUCAUUUUUAAGCCAAUCUCUUUCUUACAGGUAGCAGUAGCUGAUGUGCAGUUUGGCCCCAUGAGAUUUCAUCAAGAUCAACUUCAGGUACUUUUAGUGUUUACCAAAGAAGAUAACCAAUGUAAUGGAUUCUGCAGGGCAUGUGAAAAAGCAGGGUUUAAGUGUACAGUUACCAAGGAGGCUCAGGCUGUCCUUGCCUGUUUCCUGGACAAACAUCAUGACAUUAUCAUCAUAGACCACAGAAAUCCUCGACAGCUGGAUGCAGAGGCACUGUGCAGGUCUAUCAGAUCAUCAAAACUCUCAGAAAACACAGUUAUUGUUGGUGUAGUACGCAGGGUGGAUAGAGAAGAGUUGUCCGUAAUGCCUUUCAUUUCUGCUGGAUUUACAAGGAGGUAUGUAGAAAACCCCAACAUCAUGGCCUGCUACAAUGAACUGCUCCAGCUGGAGUUUGGAGAGGUGCGAUCACAACUGAAACUCAGGAGUGGCAAGGAAUUUACUAUGCCAAAAAGAAAAACGGAGAUAAUAUACAACAAAAUGUGAAGAUAAUACCUGUCAUUGGACAGGGAGGAAAAAUUAGACACUAUGUGUCCAUUAUCAGAGUGUGCAAUGGCAACAAUAAGGCUGAGAAAAUAUCCGAAUGUGUUCAGUCUGACACUCAUACAGAUAAUCAGACAGGCAAACAUAAAGACAGGAGAAAAGGCUCACUAGACGUCAAAGCUGUUGCCUCCCGUGCAACUGAAGUUUCCAGCCAGAGACGACACUCUUCCAUGGCCCGGAUACAUUCCAUGACAAUUGAGGCGCCCAUCACCAAGGUAAUCAAUAUUAUCAAUGCUGCCCAGGAAAGUAGUCCCAUGCCUGUGACAGAAGCCCUAGACCGUGUGCUGGAAAUUCUAAGAACCACUGAGUUAUAUUCACCACAGUUUGGUGCUAAAGAUGAUGAUCCCCAUGCCAAUGACCUUGUUGGGGGCUUAAUGUCUGAUGGUUUGCGAAGACUAUCAGGGAAUGAAUAUGUUCUUUCAACAAAAAACACUCAAAUGGUUUCAAGCAAUAUAAUCACUCCCAUCUCCCUUGAUGAUGUCCCACCACGGAUAGCUCGGGCCAUGGAAAAUGAGGAAUACUGGGACUUUGAUAUUUUUGAACUGGAGGCUGCCACCCACAAUAGGCCUUUGAUUUAUCUUGGUCUCAAAAUGUUUGCUCGCUUUGGAAUCUGUGAAUUCUUACACUGCUCCGAGUCAACGCUAAGAUCAUGGUUACAAAUUAUCGAAGCCAAUUAUCAUUCCUCCAAUCCCUACCACAAUUCUACACAUUCUGCUGAUGUGCUUCAUGCCACUGCCUAUUUUCUCUCCAAGGAGAGGAUAAAGGAAACUUUAGAUCCAAUUGAUGAGGUCGCUGCACUCAUUGCAGCCACCAUUCAUGAUGUGGAUCACCCUGGGAGAACCAACUCCUUCCUGUGUAAUGCUGGAAGUGAGCUGGCCAUUUUGUACAAUGACACUGCUGUGCUGGAGAGCCACCAUGCGGCCUUGGCCUUCCAGCUGACCACUGGAGAUGAUAAAUGCAAUAUAUUUAAAAACAUGGAGAGGAAUGAUUAUCGGACACUGCGCCAGGGGAUUAUCGACAUGGUCUUAGCCACAGAAAUGACAAAGCACUUUGAGCAUGUCAACAAAUUUGUCAACAGCAUCAACAAACCUUUGGCAACACUAGAAGAAAAUGGGGAAACUGAUAAAAAUCAGGAAGUGAUAAACACUAUGCUUAGGACUCCAGAGAACCGGACCCUCAUCAAACGAAUGCUGAUUAAAUGUGCUGAUGUGUCCAAUCCCUGCCGACCCCUGCAGUACUGCAUCGAGUGGGCUGCACGCAUUUCAGAAGAAUAUUUUUCUCAGACUGAUGAAGAGAAGCAGCAGGACUUACCUGUGGUGAUGCCAGUGUUUGACAGAAAUACCUGCAGCAUCCCCAAAUCCCAAAUCUCUUUCAUUGAUUACUUCAUCACAGACAUGUUUGAUGCUUGGGAUGCCUUUGUAGACCUGCCUGAUUUAAUGCAGCAUCUUGACAACAACUUUAAAUACUGGAAAGGACUGGACGAAAUGAAGCUGCGGAGCCUCCGACCACCUCCUGAAUAGUGGGAGACACCACCCAGAGCCCUGAAGCUUUGUUCCUUCGGUCAUUUGGAAUUCCUGAGGGCAGCCAGAGUUCCUUGGUCCUUUCAGUAUUAGGCAGAACAGCCCCCGAUCUGCAUAGCCUGUGAAAGCCCACGGGGACAUCAGUAACCUUCUGCAGCCACCAUCCAAUGCCAUUACUGUCAAGUGAGACUUGGCCACUGUAGCCUGGGCCUGCUGCAGGAGCUCUUCAGAAAGGCACAUGAAGACCACGGUUUGCAUCAGUUUCUGGUAAAACACAAGGUCUGGAGUGCCCCUGCAAAGGGUAUUGAUGGACUUCCUGCCAGUGACAGAGCAUGUCUGUUGCAAACAAUUCUCUCAGUUACGUUCAGCACUUAAGAAUGGCUAAUGGCAAUAGGAUCUUUAGCAACUUUUUCACAUCAUAGAAGGUGCAAUCACUCACUUGGGAACACUACUGAGAGUGACUUCUCUUUUAAAAUUGAGUAGCAAAUGAAAAAUUAAAAUUUGAACUUGAUUAUUAAUAUCAAUUAAAAUGUUUUAUUUAUUUUAUUAAAAGCUCAAUAUUUUCUGUGAAUUCAAAAAUACUUCAGAGCCAAAGCCAACUUCAAGUACCGUGACCAAAUUUACAUGAUUCAUAUUCAUUAUGCAUUACUUGGUAUACAGACUUAUUUUCAUAAUGCAAAUUAAUAAAAUGACAUUUUUACUGC
rnacentral:sRNA from 1 species